UACGUAGGGGGCAAGCGUUAUCCGGAUUUACUGGGUGUAAAGGGAGCGUAGACGGUUAAGUAAGUCUGGAGUGAAAGGCCGGGGCCCAACCCCCGGACUGCUCUGGAAACUAUGUGACUGGAGUGCAGGAGAGGUGAGCAGAAUUCCUAGUGUAGCGGUGAAAUGCGUAGAUAUUAGGAGGAACACCAGUGGCGAAGGCGGCUUUCUGGACAGAAACUGACAUUGAGGCACGAAAGUGUGGGGAGCAAACAGG
rnacentral:rRNA from 1 species